rnacentral:rRNA from 1 species
GUGGGGAAUAUUGGGCAAUGGAUGCAAGUCUGACCCAGCCAUCCCGCGUGCCGGAAGAAGGCCCUCAGGGUUGUAAACGGCUUUUGACGGUGAAGAAUCGACAGGAUGCGUCCUGUUUUGACGGUAGCCGUUGAAUAAGCACCGGCUAACUCCGUGCCAGCAGCCGCGGUAAUACGGAGGGUGCGAGCGGUGUCCGGAUUUAUUGGGUUUAAAGGGUGCGUAGGCUGGAAGGUCAGUCAGCGGUGAAAAGCUGUCGCUUAACGAUAGUCUUGCCGCAGAUACUUCCUUUCUUGGAUGAGGAGGAGGCCACUGGAACGGAUGGUGUAGCGGUGAAAUGCAUAGAUAUCAUCCAGAACACCGAUUGCGAAGGCAGGUGGCUGUACCUUAAUCGACGCUGAUGCACGAAAGCAUGGGGAGCAAACAGGAUUAGAAACCCUAGUAGUCC